GAUCAAACAGGCAUCGGCGGCUUCGGCCACGGCGGCAACGGCGUCAAGGUUCUAGGCUAGAACCUCGACGAUCUAUCUUCUCUACCGAUCUCUUCCUACCUCCAGCUUCCACUGCUAGUUCUAGAAGCUUCCAGAACUUGUAUUCCAUAGUUUCUUCUUCUCUUUUCCCCCUAAAACAAUUGUUGCUUGUAUGGUGGAUCCUUGCUAUUGAAUUGGAAGAAGUGGGUUCCUAACAAUCUGGUAUCAGAGCCGCUCGGUUCGUGGGAUUUCUCGUCAUGCAGGUGUUGGGAAGGCAGCAGUGCAAGGUGGAGGAAGAUUUGGGCAAGUGAGGUGCUCAUGAAUCUAGCGCACACAACCUGUUCGAUAGAAUACCAAGCCAACAUAAGGUGUUUAAGGACGAUGAAAGGAUAUCAGAGCCCGUUUCCAUCAAAUCCACCAUGAACAAGGAGGGAAUAUCCAUGGACGAAUCUUUAGAUCAGAAUCUUGGGAAGCUUGAGUUGAUGGAGGCCAAGUGCAGGCAAGAGGAGAAGUUCAAUCAAAUACUACAGAAGUUGGAGGAGAUAGAGGCUUGUAGGAGCAAGGCUACCGAGGUGACGAUUGCUGACAUCAGGACAACCACCGCCAUCCUCAAGGCUUCAUCAUCUCCAACACCCAUGGCACCACCUCCUCCAACACCGACCAAGUGUUUGACAAAAUGCCCCAACAACAACUUCACUUGGGUGAUGGCGAAUUCAAGUCACAUUGGUGAGGUGCUUGCUCCAACGGCUGCCUGGGAGCUAGGAGACAACAAGGACAAGGGCCACACCCCCUGCAUCGUCACCAACGACUCACCCAAGGUCACGCCCGCCAAGUGCUCGAAUUGUUCUAGCCCUGACAUCGUGCUAGACCUCACCGUGGCUGUGGGGGUUUCAUGUGCCACUACUAUGGCCUCCAUGGAGUUGUUGGUUGGUGAGGAUGCAACCAGUGUCAUCUACAUUGACAACCCACAUUGUUCCAUAGCGACGCAUGCCAAGUGUUCGACUUUGGGCCUCAAUGUCAAUGGUAGCGCCAACCAACCUGUGGUCGUGUUCCCUACCAUUACAGCUAUGAAUGGGCAUAGCAUCAUUCCAACUCUGCCUCUGACCAUUAUGAAUACGUCAGUCAUCCUUGUUGUCAAAUCAAGUUGUGCUAGCGACAAUUCUAUCAGACUUAUGACUCUAUGUUAG
rnacentral:lncRNA from 1 species